rnacentral:rRNA from 1 species
GCUCCAAUAGCGUAUAUUAAAGUUGUUGCGGUUAAAAAGCUCGUAGUCGAAUCUGUGUCUCGCGCCGCCGGUUCAUCGCUCGCGGUGUUAACUGGCGUGUUCGCGAGACGUCCUGCCGGUGGGCUUAGCUCUUCGGGGCGGUCCAACUUGAAAUCCCACCGCGGUGCUCUUGACUGAGUGUCGGUGGUGGGCCGGCACUUUUACUUUGAACAAAUUAAAGUGCUUAAAGCAGGCUAAAACCUCGCCUGAAUACACGUGCAUGGAAUAAUGGAAUAGGACCUCGGUUCUAUUUUGUUGGUUUUAGGAACAACGAGGUAAUGAUUAAUAGGGACGGAUGGGGGCAUUCGUAUUGCGACGUUAGAGGUGAAAUUCUUGGAUCGUCGCAAGACGGACAGAAGCGAAAGCAUUUGCCAAAAACGCUUUCAUUGAUCAAGAACGAAAGUUAGAGGUUCGAAGGCGAUCAGAUACCGCCCUAGUUCUAACCAUAAACGAUGCCAGCUAGCGAUCCGCCGAUGUUCCUCCGAUGACUCGACGGGCAGCUUCCGGGAAACCAAAGCUUUUGGGUUCCGGGGGAAGUAUGGUUGCAAAGCUGAAACUUAAAGGAAUUGACGGAAGGGCACCACCAGGAGUGGAGCCUGCGGCUUAAUUUGACUCAACACGGGAAACCUCACCAGGCCCGGACACCGGAAGGAUUGACAGAUUGAGAGCUCUUUCUUGAUUCGGUGGGUGGUGGUGCAUGGCCGUUCUUAGUUGGUGGAGCGAUUUGUCUGGUUAAUUCCGAUAACGAACGAGACUCUAGCCUGUUAACUAGGCGGAUUUACGACAUCUCAAAGGCCCGCCGGCCCGUCGCUCAAGCGUCGCGGUCGCGCGCGGUUUUUACUGUCGGCGUACAAUAAAUUCUUCUUAGAGGGACAGGCGGCUUCUAGCCGCACGAGAUUGAGCAAUAACAGGUCUGUGAUGCCCUUAGAUGUUCUGGGCCGCACGCGCGCUACACUGAAGGAAUCAGCGUGUCCUCCCUGGCCGAGAGGCCCGGGUAACCCGCUGAACCUCCUUCGUGCUAGGGAUUGGGGCUUGCAAUUGUUCCCCAUGAACGAGGAAUUCCCAGUAAGCGCGAGUCAUAAGCUCGCGUUGAUUACGUCCCUGCCCUUUGUACACACCGCCCGUCGCUACUACCGAUUGAAUGAUUUAGUGAGGUCUUCGGACUGGUACGCGGUGGCGCUCCCGCGUCGCCGAU